ACGCUCGACACCUACGGAAGGCAGCAGUGGGGAAUAUUGCACAAUGGGGGAAACCCUGAUGCAGCGACGCCGCGUGGAGGAAGAAGGUCUUCGGAUUGUAAACUCCUGUUGUUGGGGAAAAAGAGGAUGGUACCCAACAAGGAAGUGACGGCUAACUACGUGCAGCAGCCGCGGUAAUCUGAGCGGGCUGGCAAGGC
rnacentral:rRNA from 1 species